rnacentral:rRNA from 1 species
GACAGAGGUGCCAAGCGUUAGGCGGAAUCACUGGGCUUAAAGCGUGUGUAGGCGGAUGUCUAAGUACCUUGUGAAAUCCCACGGCUCAACCGUGGAACUGCUUGGUAUACUGGAUGUCUUGAGCCAUCUAGGGGCUACCGGAACAAAUGGUGGAGCGGUGAAAUGCGUAGAUAUCAUUUGGAACGCCAAUGGUGAAAACAGGUAGCUGGGGAUGUGCUGACGCUCAUGCACGAAAGCGUGGGGAGCAAACAGG